rnacentral:rRNA from 1 species
GAUGAACGCUGACAGAAUGCUGAACACAUGCAAGUCAACUUGAAUUUGGGUUUUUUAACUUAGAUUUGGGUGGCGGACGGGUGAGUAACGCGUAAAGAACUUGCCUCACAGCUAGGGACAACAUUUGGAAACGAAUGCUAAUACCUGAUAUUAUGAUUAUAAGGCAUCUUAGAAUUAUGAAAGCUAUAUGCGCUGUGAGAGAGCUUUGCGUCCCAUUAGCUAGUUGGAGAGGUAACGGCUCACCAAGGCGAUGAUGGGUAGCCGGCCUGAGAGGGUGAACGGCCACAAGGGGACUGAGACACGGUCCUUACUCCUACGGGAGGCAACAGUGGGGAAUAUUGGACAAUGGACCAAGAGUCUGAUCCAGCAAUUCUGUGUGCACGAUGACGUUUUUCGGAAUGUAAAGUGCUUUCAGUUGGGAAGAAAAAAAUGACGGUACCAACAGAAGAAGUGACGGCUAAAUACGUG